AUGUUGGUACUGAUUGCGUGUAGGUUCAAUAAAGGACGAGGAAGCGCUCUGACUUUUACAGUGAGAGUCGGAUCUAGAAGAACUAUAGUGGGUAUUCCACCACUUCGAAUCUCUCUGGGAUUGCUGCUGCUUCGAAUUCUCCUCAACAUCCACCGUGUGAAUUUAGUCCUCUCAAGUGGGGAGGGGGGAGGUCAUGCCCUAUUUCUUAAAGGAAACGCCAGGUUCCUCCUUUAG